rnacentral:rRNA from 1 species
AUUGAACGCUGGCGGCAGGCCUAACACAUGCAAGUCGAACGGUAACAGGAAGACGCUUGCUUCUUUGCUGACGAGUGGCGGACGGGUGAGUAAUGUCUGGGAAACUGCCUGAUGGAGGGGGAUAACUACUGGAAACGGUAGCUAAUACCGCAUAACGUCGCAGGACCAAAGAGGGGGACCUUCGGGCCUCUUGCCAUCGGAUGUGCCCAGAUGGGAUUAGCUAGUAGGUGGGGUAACGGCUCACCUAGGCGACGAUCCCUAGCUGGUCUGAGAGGAUGACCAGCCACACUGGAACUGAGACACGGUCCAGACUCCUACGGGAGGCAGCAGUGGGGAAUAUUGCACAAUGGGCGCAAGCCUGAUGCAGCCAUGCCGCGUGUAUGAAGAAGGCCUUCGGGUUGUAAAGUACUUUCAGCGGGGAGGAAGGGAGUAAAGUUAAUACCUUUGCUCAUUGACGUUACCCGCAGAAGAAGCACCGGCUAACUCCGUG